rnacentral:rRNA from 1 species
CCUACGUGAGGCAGCAGUGAGGAAUAUUGGUCAAUGGGCGCGAGCCUGAACCAGCCAAGUCGCGUGAGGGAGGACGGCCCUACGGGUUGUAAACCUCUUUUGCCGGGGAGCAACGGGCGUCACGUGUGGCGCCCCUGAGAGUACCCGGAGAAAAAGCAUCGGCUAACUCCGUGCCAGCAGCCGCGGUAAUACGGAGGAUGCGAGCGUUAGCCGGAUUGAUUGGGUUUAAAGGGUGCGUAGGCGGCUCGUUAAGUCAGUGGUCAAGUUGAGGGGCUCAACCCCUGCCCGCCAGUGAAACUGGCGCUCGGGAGUGGAAGAGAAGUAUGCGGAAUGCGUGGUGUAGCGGUGAAAUGCAUAGAUAUCACGCAGAACCCCGAUUGCGAAGGCAGCAUGCCGGCUUCCGACUGACGCUGAAGCACGAAAGCGUGGGGAUCGAACAGGAUUAGAUACCCCAGUAGUC